CGGGACGUGCAGCCGCCCGGCCGUCGGGCGCCCGACGUGCCUCUGCCUCCGCGCCCCGCACGCGGGCUCCGAAGGCAGGUGCCCGGCCCGCGGGGCCCGCAGCCUAAUCUCCAUCUCCAGCGUGGCCGGCAGGUCCUCUCCGCCGUCUGAGAAUCAACGAGGGACGCGCGGACUGGGACGGAAGCCGGGUGGGCACUCUGCGUCUUCUGCUUGGCAUCAGCGAUGCGCUCUUUCCCUCUUAUUACGGAGCAAGACUACCCGGCACACCAGCGGCUUACCAACCUGCUCGCCCUUCCAAAUCCUAAGUAACUGGGGCUUCGCUAACUAAUCAUCACUUACGUUUCUCUUCUCAAUUGGGAAAGGUGUCUUUCUGCCCCUACUUUAUCAAGAAGGAAUCCUCUAUUAUCGAUCACUGUUACCAGAGCCUUCGUGCAACAGCCACAUGAGUGCCUGGAACACUGUCCUGUGCAACCCAGUGUCUGCUCUGGAUUAACUUCCCCCAAUUUCACUGCCACUUCUGCUUUCAGGGGCCUGAGGGAGCUGUUUAUGCUACAAACUGCCUCUGUAGGCACUGCCGUGCAGGAUUUUUGAAAGCACAAUAGUAAAGAGACUUGAAAGUUGUACUAUCUUCUCUCUUGUUUGUUUGCACCCCUCCUGCCUUUCUAGUAAACCAUCAUAACAAAUGUCUCCUUGGUGCAAUUCUCUUUCCUCCUCAGAAUUAUGUUGUGGAGCAGGACUUUGAAGAAUCCUGACUCCUGAAACGGCUGGUAGGUAAGACAAGCGCUGCCCUCAAAGCCUGAUUUUGAGGACACUCCCUCCAGAGGCUCUGUCUUCCUAUCUCCUUUUAGAAACAAUGAGCCUAUUUAGAGGAAACAAUUCAAACAGUAAAUAAUUUGCUUGGUAGAGUAACACUGGUUUCUGCCCACAGAAAUUGGAAAGGAAGAACAAGGUUUUGAACCUCAGUAAACUCUACCCUGAUGGCCUAAGAAUUUUUCUCUCUUUGAAGAAAUCUAAUCAGAGGGACGGACUAUGGAAGCAGAAAUGAGACGUUGUCAUCUAGGUGCUAAUCAGCAGGGGGCACUGUUUACCUCCCUUUGUCCUAGAGAAGCCACAUGAGACUUGAUCUUAGACAAACCCAAGGCGGCUGAGAACACCACAGUAUUUCUGAGACUGGUAGAUGUGAACAGAUAAUCUCCUCUUGAUCCAGGGAAACAGGUGACACCCUUUAAAGGCAUGAUGGAUGGGCAGCACGGGGCCCAGUGCUAUUGUUUUCCUGGUGACCAACAAUACAACAAUAUAUCAGCAGGUGUAUAUGUCCAUCCCCAAUUCUUGUCUCCCAUCCCUUCCACAUCUGGUAUGACUCUAUGUCCUGACCAUCACACUCCUCUUUCCCCUUGUUUUACCCUAAUGAGCAUAUGACUUCACCUAGGACUGAGAGGACCUUGGACAUGGUUGUACAACAUUGUGAAUGUUCUGCCACUGAACUAUACACUUAAAAAUGGUUAAAAUGGCAAAUGUUACGGAUAUUUUGUUACAAUUUUUUUAAAAGAGGACCUCAGACAAAUUCCAGGAGGAAAAACAAGUUUGGACUGACCUUGCCAUACCCUUCCCUUUCUUUGUUCAAGCAAUCCAGCAAAGUCUGUGCUUUUCAGAAAAGCUUCUCAGGUGGAAGCUGAGCUGUGAACUUCCUUGGACCGUGGUAUUGGACAGAGUGCCCUUCACCCUCAAAAGGCAUAUAUCAUGUUGCUGAUGACUCUGACCCUUGCUCUCUACUUUAAACUUUGUUGCCUUCUCCUUACUCAGCACUUUCCAAUUCCUAUAAACACUUCACUUUCCUUCUUUGAUCCUUUGAGCCAGAAAUCCCCCAACUUUUUCUGUAAAAGGCCAGACAGUACCUUUUCCUGGCUUUGUAGGGAAGCCACAGGGUGUGGUAACUACUCUGGUGUAGGGAGAAAGCCAAUAAAUAAUAUGUAAGUGAAUGGGCAUGGGUGUUGUUCCAAUAAAACAGUACAAAACUAG